rnacentral:rRNA from 1 species
GGAAAUCUCACCAGGCCCGGACACUGGAAGGAUUGACAGAUUGAUAGCUCUUUCUUGAUUCAGUGGGUGGUGGUGCAUGGCCGUUCUUAGUUGGUGGAGUGAUUUGUCUGGUUAAUUCCGAUAACGAACGAGACCUUAACCUGCUAAAUAGUGACGCGGUUCAUCGAACCGUGGGCCACUUCUUAGAGGGACUAUCGGAUUCAAACCGAUGGAAGUGUGAGGCAAUAA